rnacentral:rRNA from 1 species
AUUGAACGCUGGCGGCAGGCCUAACACAUGCAAGUCGAGCGGUAGAGAGAAGCUUGCUUCUCUUGAGAGCGGCGGACGGGUGAGUAAUGCCUAGGAAUCUGCCUGGUAGUGGGGGAUAACGUUCGGAAACGGACGCUAAUACCGCAUACGUCCUACGGGAGAAAGCAGGGGACCUUCGGGCCUUGCGCUAUCAGAUGAGCCUAGGUCGGAUUAGCUAGUUGGUGGGGUAAUGGCUCACCAAGGCGACGAUCCGUAACUGGUCUGAGAGGAUGAUCAGUCACACUGGAACUGAGACACGGUCCAGACUCCUACGGGAGGCAGCAGUGGGGAAUAUUGGACAAUGGGCGAGAGCCUGAUCCAGCCAUGCCGCGUGUGUGAAGAAGGUCUUCGGAUUGUAAAGCACUUUAAGUUGGGAGGAAGGGCAGUAAAUUAAUACUUUGCUGUUUUGACGUUACCGACAGAAUAAGCACCGGCUAACUCUGUG